rnacentral:tRNA from 1 species
UGGGUUGUGGCUCAGUGGUAGAGCGCUUGCCUAGCAGCAUGUGUGAGGCACUGGGUUCAAUCCUCAACACCACAU